rnacentral:rRNA from 1 species
UACAGAGGGUGCAAGCGUUAAUCGGAAUUACUGGGCGUAAAGCGUGCGUAGACGGUUAUGUAAAUCGGGUGUGAAAGCCCCGGGCUCAACCUGGGAAUUGCAUUCGAGACUGUGUAGCUAGGGUACGGAAGAGGGAAGCGGAAUUUCAGGUGUAGCGGUGAAAUGCGUAGAUAUCUGAAGGAACACCAGUGGCGAAAGCGGCUUCCUGGUCCAGUACCGACGUUCAGGCACGAAAGCGUGGGGAGCAAACAGG